rnacentral:lncRNA from 1 species
CCGCGACCUUCCUUUUGAACCAUGGCGCAAUUCCGAAUCCCCAAAGUGGCAUUUUUUUUCUUUUUUUUGCACACAAGCCCCUCAAAUUGAUUAAAUUCCCAAAAUCUCUCCUUCCCCUUCUAAUGAUAAGGAGAAGCGCUCUCUCUCUCUCUUCUUUCUCACUCUAAAAAUUUUUGGAUCGUCGAAAAGCAUUUUAGAGGGGGGUGAUCUCGGAGGAGCUUAGUGGGAGGGUAGAUGACGUGGCAAUGGUACGGCCGUUGGAUCAAGAAAGUUCGUGUCGAUCGACGGAGAGGGAGCCACCGAG